rnacentral:tRNA from 1 species
CUGGCGGGUGGCUGGUGGCUGAGCGGCCGCUUGCUGCGCGGCAUCAGCUUCCCGCGCUGGUACUGGCGGCCCGCCUUCGCCCUGCUGAUCC